AAUCAUGAUAGAGGCGCGGUGUUUAAGAGUAUUAUAUCUGAGGCAAGCACGAUGAAGAUAUAAAAAAGGAACCAUCGCCGAAGCAUAAAGCUGAUGCUUUCAGGCUUUAUAGCUGGUUCUAAAUAGAAUAUAUUUAGAACUGUCACAAACGCAUAGUUUGUGGAGAGCUAUCAUGCAG
rnacentral:ncRNA from 2 species